AUUGAACGCUGGCGGCAUGCCUUACUCAUGCAAGUCGAACGGCAGCGCGGGAGCAAUCCUGGUGGCGAGUGGCGAACGGGUGAGUAAAGUAUCGGAACGUGCCCAGUCGUGGGGGAUAACGUAGCGCAAGUUACGCUAAUACCGCAUACGAUCUAUGGAUGAAAGCGGGGGAUCGCAAGACCUCGCGCGAUUGGAGCGGCCGAUAUCAGAUUAGGUAGUUGGUGGGGUAAAGGCUCACCAAGCCGACGAUCCGUAGCUGGUCUGAGAGGACGACCAGCCACACUGGGACUGAGACACGGCCCAGACUCCUACGGGAGGCAGCAGUGGGGAAUUUUGGACAAUGGGCGAAAGCCUGAUCCAGCCGUGCCGCGUGCAGGAUGAAGGCCUUCGGGUUGUAAACUGCUUUUGUACGGAACGAAAAGGUUUGGCCUAAUAAGCUGAGCUCAUGACGGUACCGUAAGAAUAAGCACCGGCUAACUACGUGCCAGCAGCCGCCGUAA
rnacentral:rRNA from 1 species